UACGGGGGGGGCAAGCGUUGUUCGGAAUUACUGGGCGUAAAGGGUGUGUAGGUGGCUUGCUAAGUCAGACGUGAAAUCCCUCAGCUUAACUGGGGAACUGCGUCUGAGACUGGCGAGCUUGAGGGCAGGAGAGGAACGCGGAAUUCCAGGUGUAGCGGUGAAAUGCGUAGAUAUCUGGAGGAACACCGGUGGCGAAGGCGGCGUUCUGGACUGCAUCUGACACUGAAAGACGAAAGCCAGGGGAGCAAACGGG
rnacentral:rRNA from 1 species